GACGAGGGAUCCUAGCGUUGUUCGGAAUCAUUGGGCGUAAAGAGGGCGUAGGUGGCUUGGUAAGUCAGGUGUGAAAGCCCAGGGCUCAACCCUGGAAGUGCAUUUGAUACUGCUGAGCUUGAGUGUUGGAGAGGUUAUCGGAAUACCUGGUGUAGUGGUGAAAUACGUAGAUAUCAGGUGGAACACCGGAGGCGAAGGCGGGUAACUGGCCAAACACUGACACUGAGGCCCGAAAGCGUGGGGAUCAAACAGG
rnacentral:rRNA from 1 species